rnacentral:rRNA from 1 species
AUAUCAAUAAGCGGAGGAAAAGAAACCAACAGGGAUUGCCCUAGUAAACGGCGAGUGAAGCGGCAACAGCUCAAAUUUGAAAUCUGGCGUCUUCGGCGUCCGAGUUGUAAUUUGCAGAGGGCGCUUUGGCAUUGGCAGCGGUCCAAGUUCCUUGGAACAGGACGUCACAGAGGGUGAGAAUCCCGUACGUGGUCGCUAGCCUUUACCGUGUAAAGCCCCUUCGACGAGUCGAGUUGUUUGGGAAUGCAGCUCUAAAUGGGAGGUAAAUUUCUUCUAAAGCUAAAUACUGGCCAGAGACCGAUAGCGCACAAGUAGAGUGAUCGAAAGAUGAAAAGCACUUUGGAAAGAGAGUUAAAAAGCACGUGAAAUUGUUGAAAGGGAAGCGCUUGCAGCCAGACUUGCCUGUAGUUGCUCAUCCGGGUUUCUACCCGGUGCACUCUUCUAUAGGCAGGCCAGCAUCAGUUUGGGCGGUUGGAUAAAGGUCUCUGUCAUGUACCUCCUUUCGGGGAGAUCUUAUAGGGGAGACGACAUGCAACCAGCCUGGACUGAGGUCCGCGCAUCUGCUAGGAUGCUGGCGUAAUGGCUGUAAGCGGCCCGUCUUGAAACACGGACCAAGGAGUCUAACAUCUAUGCGAGUGUUUGGGUGUCAAGCCCGAACGCGUAAUGAAAGUGAACGGAGGUGGGAACCUUUCGGGGUGCACCAUCGACCGAUCCUGAUGUCUUCGGAUGGAUUUGAGUAAGAGCAUAGCUGUUGGGACCCGAAAGAUGGUGAACUAUGCUUGAAUAGGGUGAAGCCAGAGGAAACUCUGGUGGAGGCUCGCAGCGGUUCUGACGUGCAAAUCGAUCGUCAAAUUUGGGCAUAGGGGCGAAAGACUAAUCGAACUAUCUAGUAGCUGGUUCCUGCC